UCCGCAAGGAAGCAAAAGGCUGAGUAACACGUAGGUAACCUGCCUUCAGGUGGGGUAUAGCCUUGAGAAAUUGAGGGUAAUCCCCCAUAGGUUUAAGAUACUGGAAUGUGCUUAAACCCAAAGCUUCGGCGCCUGAAGAUGGGCCUGCGACCUAUCAGGCUGUUGGUGUUGGGUAAUGGCCCACCAAACCAUUGACGGGUAGGGGCAGUGAGAGCUGGAGCCCCCAGACGGGUACUGAGACACGGACCCGAGCCCUACGGGGUGCAGCAGGCGCGAAACCUCCGCAAUGCACGCAAGUGUGACGGGGGGAUUCCAAGUGUUAUUGCUUUUUGCAAUAACUUUUCUUAAUUGUAAAUAGUUUGAGGAAUAAGGGCUGGGUAAGACGGGUGCCAGCAGCCGCGGUAAUACCCGCAGCUCAAGUGGUCUGGAGUUUUAUUGGGUCUAAAGCGUUCGUAGCUGGGUCUAUAAGUUCUCUGUGAAAUCUAACGGCUUAACCGUUAGGCGUGCAGAGGAUACUGUAGACCUUGAGACUGGGAUGGGUCAAGGGUACUCUCGGGGUAGGGGUGAAAUCCAAUAAUCCUGAGGGGACCACCUGUGGCGAAGGCGCUUGGCUAGAACAGGUCUGACAGUGAGGGACGAAAGCUAGGGGAGCGAACGGGAUUAGAUACCCCGGUAGUCCUAGCCGUAAAUGAUGCAUACUAGGUGUUGCAUUCCUUUAGAGGGGAUGCAGUGCCGUAGGGAAGCCGUUAAGUAUGCCACCUGGGAAGUACGGUC
rnacentral:rRNA from 1 species